rnacentral:snoRNA from 1 species
GCUGGUGUAAAUGAUGACUUCACUUUUUUCCCCGUCAUAUCGACAAUGCUGAUCUCUGAAAAUAUUUUGCCAGUUAAUUCUGAUACGCCAGC